rnacentral:tRNA from 1 species
GAGGUUAUAGCUCAGUGGUAGAGUGCAUGCUUAGCAUGCACAAGGUCCUGGGUUCGAUCCCCAAUUAUCUCC